UACGUAGGGGGCAAGCGUUGUCCGGAAUCAUUGGGCGUAAAGCGCGUGUAGGCGGUCCGGUAAGUCCGCUGUGAACGUCGGGGGGCUCAACCUGGGAACUGCAUUGGAAACUGGCGAGCUUGAAUGCGGCAGAGGGGGGGUGGAAUUCCGCGUGUAGCAGUGAAAAUGCGUAGAGAUGCGGAGGAACACCGAUGGCGAAGGCAGCCCCCCUGGGCCACAUUGACGCUCAGGCACGAAAAGCGUGGGGGGAGCAAAACAGGG
rnacentral:rRNA from 1 species